rnacentral:rRNA from 1 species
UACGAAGGGGGCUAGCGUUGCUCGGAAUCACUGGGCGUAAAGCGCGUGUAGGCGGCUCGAUAAGUCUGCUGUGAAAGUCCAGGGCUCAACCCUGGGAUGCCGGUGGAUACUGUCGAGCUCGAGUCCGGAAGAGGCGAGUGGAAUUCCUGGUGUAGCGGUGAAAUGCGCAGAUAUCAGGAGGAACACCAAUGGCGAAGGCAGCUCGCUGGGACGUGACUGACGCUGAGACGCGAAAGCGUGGGGAGCAAACAGG